GCCGCGGUGGUGGAGUUGGUAGACACGAGGGACUUAAAAUCCCUUGGUAGAAAUACCGCGCGGGUUCAAAUCCCGCCCGCGGCACCA
rnacentral:tRNA from 1 species